UACAGAAGGCGCGAGCGUUAUUCAUAGUUACUGGGCGUAAAGGGUAUGUAGGUAGAACAACAAAUUUUGCUGGUAAGUCUGGAAACGUAAUUUCAGAAGACGCUUUUAGAUAAUUGUUCUUGAGUUAAUCACGGGUCGGAGGAACGUUUAGCGAAAAGGUAAAAUUUUCCAAUUCUAAACGGAACACCAGUGGUAAAGACGUCCCUCUAGUGUUAACUGACGCUGAGGUACGGAAGUGUGGGGAGCAAACAGG
rnacentral:rRNA from 1 species